UCUGGUGACAAUAGAGCUAUAGAACCACCUGAACCCAUCUCGAACUCAGAAGUGAAAUGUAGCAUCGCCGAUGGUAGUGUGGGAGUUCCCAUGUGAGAGUAGGACAUCGCCAGGAUCUUAUACCAAAAAAGCCUCAACCAAAGUUGGGGCUUUUUUUUGCCUGAAAUUUGUGCGAAACAUUGAAAA
rnacentral:rRNA from 1 species